rnacentral:rRNA from 1 species
CAGCCCUAAACGAUGCGCGUUAGGUGUAUCGGUGACCACGAGUCACCGAGGUGCCGAAGGGAAACCGUGAAACGUGCCGCCUGGGAAGUACGGUCGCAAGGCUGGAACUUAAAGGAAUUGGCGGGGGGAGCACCACAACGGGUGGAGCCUGCGGUUUAAUUGGACUCAACGCCGGGAAGCUCACCGGAUAAGACAGCGGAAUGAUUGCCGGGCUGAAGACCCUGCAUGACCAGCUGAGAGGAGGUGCAUGGCGUCAGUGACU